UCAUCUCCUUGACUUUGGACUUCACCUAUUGAGACCCUGUACAGUAAGUUUUACGGCAUUGGAAAAUGUUGAUGUAGGAGGGAAGUUUAGUGUAACCCCUGUUUGCUUCUCAUAGGGGGACAAUACAGAAAGCUAGAACUGGGACUCCUAAAGACCAUUUCCCCUCACUAUGUUUCAACAGCUCUCCAAUUUUUGGACAGCUUGUAGUACAUUAAUGAAUUAGAAUUGUAUUCCUCUCAUUUCCUUCUGGCUAAAAAAAGGCAGGGCGAGAAGCAAGGGAUUAAUAAUUCCUAAAUUAUUCGACCACACCUUGUGAUAUGUUUGGUAUUCCUAUAGCUCCAGUGGUUUUGAAGAGGAACCUCACAUAUGGGAAGUGUGUGCAAGGGAGAGCUGGAUGGGAGACAUGGGUCUUGUCAUUUUCCCAUGUUUCAGAUUUGGUUCAGACACGGCACCUGUCUUGUUCCAGCGAUUCAUUGCCUUCUUGUUUUAGCCAAAUGCUUUGUCUUUGCAGCCUCCUUUAUAAUGGUUGCUUCUGAGAGUCCUGAAAAGUAGGUCACGGUGUUUUCUGUCUGGAAAAGGAGGACCUUGAAGCUCAGAAAGGCCAAUGCCCUUCUCAGUCCUUGUGUGCUGACCUGAAACCGGACAAUCCAGUCAUUCUUCAGGACCACAACUAAUAUAGUUUAUUGUUUUGGUUACAUAUUUUCAGUGUCCUUGAACAUGUGUAUCAGGCUUCUAAAUAAAAUGUGUAAAGAAGACAUAAGAGUGAAUUGGAAGGAGGCAGAUGAUCGCCUGGUGUUGAACCCUGGCUUGGAUCGCUGACAAAUUGUGUGAGCUUAAGCAAAUACUCAACCUCUCUGAGCCUCAGUUUCCUCAUUCAUAAAAUGAGAGUCAUAACUUCUUUUAUAAGGGAGUGGGGUUUACUCAUAAUGUAUAUAAAUGGCCAAGUAGGGGCGCCUGGGUGGCGCAGUCGGUUAAGCGUCCGACUUCAGCCAGGUCACGAUCUCGCGGUCCGUGAGUUCGAGCCCCGCAUCAGGCUCUGGGCUGAUGGCUCAGAGCCUGGAGCCUGUUUCCGAUUCUGUGUCUCCCUCUCUCUCUGCCCCUCCCCUGUUCAUGCUUUGUCUCUCUCUGUCCCCCCAAAAAAUAAAUAAACGUUGAAAAAAAAAAUUAAAAAAAAAAAAAAAUAAAUGGCCAAGUAUUAUAACAUUAUUUAUGAAAUCCCUCAUUUGAAUUUGUCCUGAAUCUUCUUUAUAUCUCUUGUUUCUUUCAAAUUCAGGUCUAGGGCCCCCAGUGUGGUCUUUGGUGGGAAAUACUAAUCUAAAUGGUAAAGACAAUAAUUUGUUUUUACCGCUUUUAAGAACUUCAUCUUUAGGAUGGGUAAGCCAUGUGAAUGUUGAAGAUGGCAUAUGGUUAGCUGUUAGGGACAUUAGGCUCUAGCUAAGAUCAGCGAUGGCAACAAACCUCCCCAAACAACCUCACAGUGUAGGCUAUUAUUUCCAUAAACUUACCUGCUCUACGUUAACCAGCAUUCUAAAAUUUUUCCUUUGGUUAUGUACUUCUGUGGUCUGAAGGGACCAGUUCUUCCCCAUUGCUAGAUCGAUUCUGUGACUAGAUGAGACAGAAAGAAAGGUUGUCUCAAAGAGUACCUGCUUCCCAAAGUGUUCCCCUGUAACUCAGGAUAUGAGGUUUCUUUUUUCCUCUAAGGACUUUCAUUAUGCACAAGUUUAUUUCAUUCCUAUUGUGUGCAAGACAUAGAGCCAGGUUACAAUGCUUCAAUGACCUCUGACGGUACUAGAAGAAAGAAGUCAUUUCACGAGUGAUUCUGCUACCAGUCAGAAUGGGCUUGUUUCAUGGGACAUGAGAAGUACAGGCAGAAUACAGACAGGGCCCAGACUCCACAGGGCCUUCACAUGCAAAACUGAUUCACCAAAAACAGGCAUUAUUGGUUGUACAUCCCCUUGGAAGGCUGUACAUUCUUGGAAAGCAAUUCAGAGGCUUUCAGGGCUCCUCCUUGGGUUCAACUUCUAAGUAAUGACCUGGAAAGGCAUAGAAGAGUCGCACCUUAAAGUUGCAUUUCAUCCUCACCCCUCUACCCCCCACCUCCCUGAUCAUUUCUUAACUCAGCACCUAUUUUGCUCUCAGGUCUGUGCUAAAUGCUGGAAAUAUAAUUCUGCCUUAAAAAAGGCCACAGACUUUCAUUUAACUUGAAAUUCUGUUCUCCAACCUAGCCAUCUACCUUCUCAGCUAAACUGGACUCCGAAAAGCACUUAGCUGGUUUCUGAAAUCAAAUCUGUACCUUAAUGAAUAAAAAAUUGCCACCAGUGAAUUUAUGCAGAGUGUGUGUUGCAGGCCAAGAAAGUAGUUUGAAAGGUUUUGACAGAUGCUUUUUAGAACUCCCACAGGCGCAGACAUUCUCCACUCUCCUCCACUUGCCAGCCCCCGACUCGGAGCGGCACUGCUUUGGCUCUAUGAAUUCUGCAGGUGAAAAACACAGACCUAACAAACAGACAUCCCCGGUCUCACUCCUGCUUCCUCACAUCAUGGCAGGACACACAUUGGAUGCCCUGCUGUGCUGCGGCUUCCUGCUGAAAUGGUGCAGGGCUGACCCCCAGCCAGGCUCUGAGCAGUUCAUCGGGCCUGGUAUGUGUGCUCUACAGCAGUGGUUAAUGCAGAGGGUUGGGGAACUUGUCAGGGAGAAGGUUGAUAACAUUUUGAUUAUUUUGGUUCCAGAAGAUUUCUUCAUAUUAAAUGCCUGUAACUGGGCAAUUUAUGUCUUCUUAGGGGCCAUGCACAAUCUCCUAUUUGGGGCAGGAAUGUGGCAGUGGGAAAUCUCAACCUUCAGAAGUCUUGUAAUGGAUGAUUAGCAAGAGAUGUUGGUUCGUGUGAAGAAAAAUAGCUCAUUUUAGGGCCAAGAUACGUACUUAAAACAUUUGAGGAAUGGUCAUGGAUUGCCCAGGAAGGCCCAAACCUCACAGAUCUGGGAAUCCCACCUGCCCCCACCCCACUGGGGAUCAGGUGGACCAUCGUGAGUGCUGCCAGGCAAGCCAGCACCCUGCUGCCCACAUGUCUGCACACCUGCCUCAACUUCCUGGGCCUUUCCUGUCUAGGUCCUUUGGUUUCCUCUCAUUCAUCUGAGUCACUCUUCUCUGUUCCCUGUAGUUGGGCUGCAGGGAAGUGGCCAUUUUUCUGAUUCUGCUGCUUCACUGUAAUAACCUCUACUGUAUCAAGUGCGAGGUGGCAUGCUGGGCUCUUGGCUUACCUUUUUACCAGUCCUGAGAUACUGCAGUGGCUAAAGCUUUGGAGCCAGACAGACCUUCAUCCAAAUAUCUGGUUGUCCCUGGUGUGUGAUCUUGAGUAGUUUAUUUAACCUCUCUGCUCUUCAGUUUCCCUAAGGUAAUAGGAGUGCUAAUUACUCACGAUAUAAGGUUUUAUGAGAUUUAAAUCAAAGCAUUUGCAGGCCCUUCCUAACAAUAGUUAGAUAGUUACAAAUAAAAUCCUUUCAACUCCCUGCAAGACAGAUGUUAUCUCUGCUCUCCAGAUAAGGUAGCAGAUGAGGUUAAUGCCAGGUCCAAGGCUACAGGGUAAUACUAGCCAGAACCAGGAUCUAAAACCAGUUCCGUCUGGCUCUAAAACCUAUGCUCUCUCUUCGCUCUCCUCUGUUGACUGACCAUCUGUGACAAAAUGUACUUUUUUUUUUUUCAAUCGAAGUCCACUUUGUCAAGUUCUGGCCUCAUGAGUCUGACCCGCAAGUGUUCCAGUUUUCACUUGUGACUUACUUUGUUUUAGACUCUCUGGUCUUACCUUGGCCUGUAUCAAAGAAUUUCGGAGGUAAUGAAGGUAGAACCUCUCUAAGUGGCCAAGUCUGGUGAAAUGCAGAGUCCAAUUUAUCUCAAAUGUCAGAAAACUGCUGAGACAAUUAUGAUAGUACUUCUUAACAAAAGUAUCUGUGGAGCCUCAGGCAAGCUGCUGUACUUCCUGUACUUCUCUGGGCCUCGUUUGUCCAAGGGGAAGUUUACGAAAUUUCAGAAAUCUCUUCCAGUGCCAACAUUUCCACGCAUAUUUCAGGCCUUUAUCUACUAUUGUUUUUCUUAGCUGGAAAGAGAAAAAUCUGUUGGAAAUCCUGUCUUAAUCAGGAAACAAGGAACAACAAUCGUGUCUGCAAACAUUUCAGUGUAAAUCCAUAUGCCGCUUAUUAUGAUUCUCAUUCAACAAGCUUUGUCUCAUACAAGACUCAUCAUUGCUGAAUUAAUUUUUCAGAUUUGUGUUCAAUUUCCUUUCUUACAUGAUUCAGCUUUGGGCAGAAUCUAAUUGAGCCUUACCUAGUUCAGAAAAUGCAACUUGAACACAAAUUUUAGAAACUUACCUAACACACAAAAUCCAUUUGACUAGGCCUGAGUUUUUAGUUAACUUCUGAAUGACUCAAAUUUGAAGAGUUGCUUGCCACACCAGCAUCCAUUUCUGGAGUCUUAAAGGGGCAAAUCUCCAUUAUGCUGUAGAAACGGUAGCCAUCCCAACAAGUCAUUCCUAUCCUAAAAUCCCAUAUUGCUGGUGCCACAUUUUUGUUGCCUUCCAACAACUUGACUUGGUUCCCUAACUACAAGCAAAAAACAAAUACAGAAGCAAAAACACUAGCAAGACAUAGCUCCCAUAUGACUUAUCAAGUUUCUAAAAGAUGAUUUUAUUGAACAUAAGUUUUAUGAGAAAGAUAUUUUCCAUUUAGAGACAAACAGAAGGCACCCAACUUUGAGAUUUUAUUUUUAAAAUAUUUUCUGGAAAGGUACACUUAAUAUAUGUGUUUUUCUUAUUGUAAUUGUCAUUUAAACAAAGUGAAUUUUCAGUCUUCUGAAAAAGCCUCUACUUUACGUGCAGUUAUUAAAUCGUUAUUUGUUGAAAAUGAAUUGGUGUCAUAUCCUACAAGGCACUGGGAUCCAGGGUGGGUAACGUCAUCUUCACUUGCUAGGAAGCCAGCAACAGCCUAUGGGGUGGUCUAUGCAAACAAAUGAAUAUAAUACGGGGUAGUGAAGUGCAAUGUCAUAGACGAGCUGUCUUAAAUUCUGCCUGAGGAAGUCAGGAUGGAUCACAGAGGGGGUUAUGCUGAGUUUCAAAGGAUGAGUAAACGUGUCAUGGUUUUGUGUGUUUAGGUGUUUAAGGAGAACCUGAGAAGAAUGAUUCAUUCAAGGGAUACCAUCUAGGAGGUAAUAUGCUAGAAUAUAAUUAAUAAUAGUUAUCGCUGCUUGUUAUGUGUACUUGCCAGGCAUAAGUAUCAUCACAUUUCAUUCUCAUACUGCCCUAAGAAAUAGGUACUAUUAUUUUCAUCCCCUUUUUAUAGAAGGGCUAACUAAGGCACAGAGUUCAUAUAAUUUGUCCAAGGUCUCAUGGUAAGUAACAGAUUUGAGUGAAACCCCAUCAGUCUGAUUUCAGACCCAUCUCUCAACCACUAUGGCCUGAAAACAUUCUUGUUAUUUCUUUGUAUAGCUAAUGUUAAGGAGGUCAUGGGGAAACGCUUGUCAGUCACAAGUUGAUCAGUGUGUAGAUAGCAAAGUAAUAAUAAACAAGAAUAAAAUUGCAAAUAAGAGAGCUAAUAAAAUAGGUUUAAAAGCCUCUGCUUUCAGCAAACCUGGUUGCUAGACAGUAAGCUCACAUUGGUAGUCUGUGAGUGUCCCACUUACAAAGACCAGAUUAUUUUGAUGUGAAUAAAUGAACAACUGGCUGUUGUAUAGAUAUCCUGGCAAGUUCAGGGUUCUCAUUCUCAGAAUUGCAAGACUGUCCAGCCCAUUAUUCAACCAGCAGUUCACAUACACAGAAAGGAGCCAGGACCAAAGUGGAAGAGUAGUCAUUAAUAAUUACGUGUGGGUAUUUCCGUUUCAGUAAGGUCAAUUUCCAUUGUAAUACAUAUCUUUUCGAAAGUAACUGUUCUUUCUUUUUUAUUUUUUAAUGUUUAUUUAUUUAUUUAUUUUGAAAGAGAGAGACAAAGAGAGUAUGAGCAGGAGGGGGGCAGGGAGAGAGAGGGGGAGAGAGAGAAUCCCAGGCAGGCUCCAAGCUGUCAGCACAGAGCCUGGAUGCAGGGCUCAAACCCACGAUCUGUGAGAUUGUGACCUGAGCUGAAAUGAAAAGUUGGCUGCUCAACUGACUGAGCCACCUUGUGCCCCUCAAAAGUAACUUUUCAUUUGAAAACACUAACAAAUCUAUGUAGUUGAAAGAUGGUGCCAUCUGGGGACUAGAGUCCUGGCUUAGUAGAAUCUAGGAUCCAGCACAGAAUACUGUGUGACCUUGGAUAGUCGCUACAUCUCCUAAUAGCACAUAAUCACAGCCUGGCACAUGCUAGACCCUCAAUAAAUAGUAAUUAUUGUAUUUUACUUAAGUGACCUAUUAAAUAAAAAUGGACAGAUUUCCAUUAUUUGUCAUUUUUCAACAUGUAUCUCCAGGGAACUUUGGUCAAUAUUGACCAUUAGAUACUGAUGGAAACAUGAGUAGGAUUAGCAAAUUCUUGUCAAAAAAGGAAAUAUUUUUGAAACAUGACUCAAGAGUUUAAGACUAUAAACUUUAAUCCAAUGAAAAGUGUUUUUCUUUUGAUUGAAAAUGAGACUUUCCAAAGUAUGUUCUGUUCUUUGUCUUGACCAAGAAUCCAUGCCUAAUAAGGGGAAAUAGUAGAGGUUGAAAGAAGUUGAAAAAAUGGUGAGCCUUACUGGAGGGCCAAGCCAUUUAGCAAAUGCAUUCUUCUUGUGGUCAUAGAAGUCAGAGUUGAUUUGAGAAGCCCCAUUUUAUUUAAAAACAAGACUAUAAAGGUUUUAAAGGCAAGAGCGUACAAGCUGAUGGCAGGGUGAAGAACAAGGAAUACAGUGAAAUUCAACUUCCAGAGACCAAAGUUUGUUGUUACUCUUCAUUUGUCUAACUUACUUUGUGGGAUACCACUUUUCAACCAUUCAGUAAACAAUGAACAGGUCAAUUUGAAUUAGAUUAUUUGAACUAUUAGUGGGGUCAGAAGAUAAAAUAAAUACAAGUUUAAAAAACUAGAUAACAGAGUAUUUUCAGUACAACAUUCUAUAAAAUAAUAAAUUGAUUCCCACUUCCUUCUGGAAAUAGGGAAAAGAAAGGUAGGUAGAGGCAUUCAAAUGAGAUGAUAAAUAAUUUGGAGUCAUCUGAAAUUUCAACAUGAAAUAUAUUUGGCCCAGAAUAAUCUUGGAUGUCUUACAUCAGAAAUUGGAGGUGAUAUUAUUUUAAUUAUGAUUUUUAAAUAUCACGUUCAAGAUAAGACCAUGGUCUUGAGAUAGUCACAUUCAAUAUGUUAUAGCAUACUUCUAGAAGUGUCCUAAUUUGUUUGAAAUUUGUAUUUUGGGUGCAUGUUAUAGCCAAUAAAAAACACUAGCAAUCACUUUUUUCCUCCUGAAAGUUGCUGCUGUUAAAUAGUUUUUCCCCCAGAAGGAAUGUCCCUCCAAUCCUGGAGAAAAAAAACAUCUGAUUAUGAAGCUUCUAGGUAAGUAAGAACCAAUUAGGCAAAAUGUAAAUCAAAGAGUAGUUACACUCAUAGUUUUAAUCCACAGUAAAAUCUGAGUGCAUCAGUAAACUUGCGAUGUUACAAAUCUGCAUCCUUCCUCUGAUUUAGAUCUUGAAACAGAUCUAUCAUCAAGCAGAAGAACCAAACAGGAAAUGCCCAUAUUCCUGUUUAUCAUGAGCACUUUGAGACAAGAACAUGUUCUUUAGCCACAGACUUAGAAUGAACUAAAGGAAAAUUAAAUUUGUCAGUGAAGCAUUUUAAUUAAAAAUAUGUUAUUUGUACGUUUUCACAUAAGUUGCAUAUUGUCAUUAAAAUGUUUCACUGAUCUAAUUUUCCCAAGUUCAUACUUGUUUAAGUGAUUGUUUUGACAAAAAAUCAGUAUACAUUACUUUUCAUUAUAUAGACAAAGAAGAAGACUGGCAGUUUUGAAACUACUUUCUUUAUUUUCUAAGGGAAGCAACAUCCUUUUAAAGGAAAAUGUGAGAAAUGGAAAAAGCAUGGAUAAAAAAAUCACAUAGAGUCCUUCCUUCCAAACUCAGGCUCUGUGAUCAUUUAUAGAUCUUUCUCGGUUUUCUUUUCUUUUCUUUUUAAAUAUUUCACUUGUGAAGUCUAACAUACAUAAAACUUACAUAUACUGUUUGUCAAGUGGUUAAAAAGUGAUUGCCAGUGUAACUGCCACACAGGGCAAGAAAUGAAAUGGUGCUGGAUGUGUCUCAUCCGGCCACAACUCCCCCCCCCCCCCCCCCCCCCCCCGUCACUGACCACUAUCCUGAUUUAUGCUAGCCAAUCCCUUGCUUUUCUUGAUAAAUUUACCUCCAACACUGUUGCCAUCUGCAUAUGCACCCCUAAACUGUGAACUUUUAGCUGUUUCUUUGCUUUAUGUAAGUAUCUGUACACUGUGUAUUUCUUUGGUGCCUUGCUUUUUAAAACUUCAAUAUUGUGAUUGUAAAAUUACCCCUGUUGUUGUAUUAGUUGUAGCUUAAUUUUCAUUAUUGAAUAAUAUUCCAUUAUAUGAAUUUAUCUAUUUAUGUACUAAUGGGCGUUUGGGUUAUUUCUAAGUGGAGAAUAUUAUGAACAAUAUUUGGAUCUGUGUCCCAGUGCAGGAUAUCCAUGCCUAGGGUAUAUGUCUAGGAGUGUAAUGGGUGGUCAUAAGGUAUGGCUUUUAAUGUUAUUUAAAUAUUUAAACAUAAUUUUCUAAGUAGCAUUUUUAUUAUCUCAUAGUUGCAAUAACCAUCAUUUCAUUGGGUACAUAAUCUUUCAUUUGUGCCUAAAUUUUACAGCCUGGUCUUUUGUAAUAAACGUACUCCUCCACUUUCUAACUUGUUCAUAAAAGUAAUACAAAGUCUGAAAACUUAUAGAAUUUAUAGCAGACACACAAGUGCAUGGGUUAUGGUCUUACAUAAACAGUUGUCAUAGAAGAUACUGAAACAAAUAUAUUUAAAAUAAUUCUUAGGGAAGUUUUUAAUUGAGUGGUGUUUGACUUAUAACACUGCAUAAGUUUGAGGUGUACAACAUAUUGAUUCGAUACAUUUAAAUUGCAGUAUGAUUGCCGUAGUAGUAAUAGCUAACACCUUUAUCACAUCACAUAAUUAUCAUUUCUUCUAGUAUUGAAAACAAUUAAAACCUGGUCUCUUAGCAAGUUUAAUGUUUAUAAUAUAGUUUUAUUGUCCAUAAUCACUGUACUGUGUUUUAGGUUUCCGAACUUACUUAGUAGUUCCAAGUAUAUAUCUUUAAACAUCUCUCCCAUUCUGCCACCCCCUGAGAAUUGUUGUUUAAAAUCCUAGAAUUCGCUUAACCUUUCUGUUAAAGGUUCAGUUUUUAGCUGUACAAUUCUGUGAUAAAUUAGACUUUAACUGUCAUAUUUUCCAAAGUCCACUCUUUGAGCUCUCCCUCCUGACUUCUUUGAGAGUAAUUUUAGAGUUUCUCCAAGUAGGCUCCCUGGUCCUCCACUUCAUACACAACCUUACUAUCCAAUAAAACCUUUUAAUGUGCUUUGACACAGGAACCAAGGUUGCUAAGAGACCACCUGUGCUGAAUGCACUUUGUUCUAGCAAAAGCUUACGGAGAGAAAACCAAGGAGCCGUGUUAUCUACCACUACCCGGGAUUAAGUCAGGUGAGAAAGGGUUUCUACUCACUCUUCAGUCCCCAUCAGCUGUCUGGUCUUUCUCUCACUUCCUAUUUUGGUCUCUUGCUGUUGUUGAAGGAAAUUCAAGGUGCCCCUAAGAACACAGAUUAAAGAAAUACAAACUUGGGGCCAUGGCUAUAGGAGAGAAGGAAAGGCAUUUUGUAAAUCCAUAUAUUAUUCUCACCCUUUGUUUCUAAAACAUAGGCAAAAGGAAUUGUUGAAUGUCAGGGAAAUUCUAGGUGUUUACUUUGCUAGUGACUGCUGUGUAAUUUGGAGCAUGCCAUUCCCUCCUCCAGGAAUGGGGCUGGUUACUACAGAAAUUAACCAAGGUUGCUACGAUGGAAGAAGGUAACACUGCACAAACCUCGUUUAUGCACCGUCCCCCCUCAUUCUCUCUUGCAACUCAACCUGCCUUUUGUUUUUUUAGUAAAAAUAGCAAAAAAUAUUUUCCUACCCCAAUAUUGCCACUUUAAAAAAUUUUUUUAAAGUUUAUUUAUUUAUUUUGAGAGAGACAGAGACAGCAUGAGUUAGGGAGGAGAGAAGAGAGAGGGAGAGAGAAGUCCCAAGCAGGCUCCACGCUGUCAGCAUAGAGCCGGAUGCAGGGCUUGAACUCACGAACAGUGAGAACAUGACCUGAGCAGAUACCAAGAGUGGGAUGCUUAACCAACUGAACCACCCAGGCGCCUCCCCAAUAUUGCCGCUUUUAAAAAGUACUGAUGUUCCUUUUAAGUAGAGUAUAUAAAAGGAACUUUGAUGCAAGGCUUUGAAAAUUACUUCAUUUAUUUGACCUUGCAUUCCUGAGAAAGGAGUUCAGAAUGGUUCUAAACUCCCUACCUGACAGGCAUUUGGUAAGAUGUUCCAACAGUGUGCUAAACAGAGAGCAUGUUAAUACCUUUUAAAAUUCCAUAAUACUUUUUGGAAAGCAUUUUAAAGUAAAAUACUUUAUUUUUAAAAAUUAUUUGGUUAACACAGAAAUGUAGAGGAAAUUAAAUGUUUGAUGUUUUAUUAAGUGACCAAAAUAAUGAGAGAGAGGAGCUUGAGGAAAGAUCAAGAAAAUUAAAAAGACCUUUUGCUGUUUAAUUAAAAAAAAUUUUAUCGGGGCGCCUGGGUGGCGCAGUCGGUUGAGCGUCCGACUUCAGCCAGGUCACGAUCUCGCGGUCUGUGAGUUCGAGCCCCGCGUCUGGCUCUGGGCUGAUGGCUCAGAGCCUGGAGCCUGUUUCCGAUUCUGUGUCUCCCUCUCUCUCUGCCCCUCCCCUGUUCAUGCUCUGUCUCUCUCUCUGUCCCAAAAAUAAAAAUAAAUGUUGAAAAAAAAAUUUAAAAAAAAAUUUAUCAUCUGCCUUUUUGCAUGUGUCCAAAUUCUCAUUUCCCUUUAAUACUGUCCAUACAAGUUGGAAGAAUGGCAAUUUCACCAAUGCCAGUAUAAAUGAUUGUAAAUAACUUUGCAGAGAAGAUUUCAUGACUAGACUACUGAUAACAUGACAAGAGAGUGGUCAUUCUGAUAGCUCCUUGAGCUGUUUCUUUUUAGAAAGAAAGGCAUGUUUGCCAUGUAGAAAAAUGUAUGAUUAUGAUAUAAAAUGGCCAAAAUGAGUGGAUGGAAAAUAUUUUAAUUCAUUAGGGAGCAACGUAUUUUAAUUUAUUAGUGGGUUACAGAUGUGUAUGGAUGUUUCCUCAUUACUAUUUUUUUACAGUACAAAUAUUCAAUUGACUUUAAAGGAUCAAGAUUAUAAAUAUAUUUAUUGGAGGAUAUUUUUCUUUCUUUCCCCUAGGGAGCAAGAGCAGCCUGGAUAUGACGUGUAAAAACUGGAUAUUAAUGUCUACUACUCCUCCCACAAGUCUGGAGGAUGAAAUUGUUGGAAGACUCCUAAAAAUUUUAUUUGUUAUCUUUGUUGACUUUAUGUCUAUUAUAUAUGUUGUUAUAACUUCCUAGAGAGUCUACUUUCCUUACUUUACACGUAAAUUUCACAUUAAUUUUGGUGAAUAAAAAUUUGGAGUUUAA
rnacentral:lncRNA from 1 species